AGUGCUGUUGAAUUCAUGUUAAAAUGAAUCAUUCAUUAUUUAUGCUAAAUAGUUUAGGUAAAAACUUUAAAUGAGUAAACUCAUGUGUGUGUUAUAAGAUUAAACACGGGUUAAUUUCAUAAUGUUUUUAUAAGUUUGUUUUAUCAGCGCUGUUAUGUUUCAGCUAGGAACCAAUGUUUGUACUUGUGUACCACUAGGGUAAAUUAAUCGAUGCUACACUCUAAAAACUAGAUUGCAAAGCCUGAUCCAAGCGUGUCAAGAACCUCUCUUCAUGACAAGCGGCUAAUGAGGUAUUAUUAUUUGUUUAGUGAUGCAUUUGUUUAUACUUGUGCAGCGCAGCAUUCUGCUCUUAUUUGUACUUGGACACUGUUUGUUUGAGCUGAUUUAUAUAUUUGUGUCUGUACAGUUCUCACGGCAUGAAAGUAUAAACGCCAUUAAGCGUGCAAAUGGAGUGUCAUGUUAAACGACAUGAGAGAAAGGACGAAAUAAAUGCCAGUUAAAGAGAAACCGAUCCGUGUCUGUCGUGACGAGAGCUACAGUGAGAACUCACCUGCUCAACACGGGUAGGAGAGAUAGAAGGAACGACGCAACUUCGCGACGGAGGUCCAGAGCGUCCGGUGCAUCCCGCGCAUUCGGCGCGUCGGAAAAGAAGCCUCCGGUGCAUCCCGCGCAUUCGGCGCGUCGGAAAAGAAGCCUCCGGUGCAUCCCGCGCAUUCGGCGCGUCGGAAAAGAAGCCUCCGGUGCAUCCCGCGCAUUCGGCGCGUCGGAGAAGAAGCCUCCGGUGCAUCCCGCCCAUACGGCGCAUCAGAGAAGUAAAGCCCAUAAACAUAGUCGGCAUAGCAACAAGAAGCUAAAGGGAAUAUACUGAGUCGAAAGUGCAACUUUUCAAAGAAAAGCCAGCAAGUGCUCCGCCAGUCUUCAAGUUAGUGGUGAGAGAAUUGGCUCAAGAUUAAAGCUGCAAUCAAGGACUCAGGUAUUUUUACCAAUUAAGAACACACGUUUUGGGAAAAUCUGAUGUGAAGACGUUUGCAACGGAUGAGUGUCAAAAGGGAUAAAGAUUCAAAUUGACGUCAUUCUAAGUGAAUAUUAAGAAUUGUGUAUUUGUGUUUUAUUAUCACAAAGGUUAAAGGGACACUAAGUUGAAGCUAAAAGCGUGGAUGUUGAAAUAUUUGUCUAAAUACAUACCCUUGUUCUAUUUAAAGUAAGAUAUAAGUUUGAUAAGUUGCUAAUUCUAAACAGCUCUUUGAUGCCAUUUGUGUUUAGAAAUUGAGCUAAGCAGACUUGCAAGGUUGCAUGCAGUGGUUGAGAACCUUAGUAGUUAUUCACAUUCAAGCUCACUGUACUUUGCUUUGACACAUAGUCCCAUAGAAAUCCAAGUUAAGACAUCAGACAUAUCACAUAAUCAUUUAAGCUAUUUUAAAAAUGUCUGACACAAACACUGAGUCCUGCCAUAAAGAUACAGGAUUACAUGCUGAACCUGAAACCACAUUGAGUGAAUCAGCAGAAGUAAAAAAGCUACGAAGAAGUGAAAGAGUUCGAACUCUCACAGAAAAGGGAAAGGAACUUGAAGAGGAAAGGCUAAAGACCUUACAACGUCGAUUUAAAAUUACCUAUGAGAAGUGGAGGUACCAUGCAAGAGUAGGAAAGGAAAUAUUGUCUGACACUGUCUCAGAAGAUGACAUAAAUGAGCUAACAGAAGCUAUUAAAGUUACGUGUUCUGCAGUUAAAUCUAUCUAUGAAGAAUUACGUAGAGUGCAAUCACCUGAACCAGAUGUACGACGAAAGGUUGAUGCAUGUGUAUCCCUCUCAGAGCAUAUUAUUCUAAAAGCACAAAGACAACUCUCAGGACAUCCAGUGACUGAAGGAGAUGAAGAAUGGCCUGAUUUUGGAUCAAUCCUACAUUCCACAAGUUCUCGAUCAAGGUCUCAUCAUUCAAAGCAUAGUUCUGCUAGCUCUAGCAUCUUCUCAGUCAAAAGAAAUGAGGCUGUAGCUGAAGCUGCAGCUGCUCAAGAAGUUCUAGCAGUGUUAGAUGAGCAAGAUAAAGAAACAACAGAACUACAAAGACUAGAAGCUGAAGAUAAAAAACGACUAGCACAGUUUGAAUCUGAGAAGCUAGCUAGACAGCAAGCUAUUCAAGAACAGCGUAGAAAGCUUGAUCGCCUUGAAGAAGUUAAGAAGCUAAACGCUGCAAGAGCUCGAGCAAAAGUCUAUGACCAAGCUGGAAUAUGCGGCACACUUAACUUACUAAAUGAUGUUGAAUCAGCAGUGGAUUUUCAAAGUUCUGAUCCACUACCCGUUCCUCAGCCAGUCACAACCCAAACUCUUCAUGUUUCAAGUCCACCUUUCAUUCCACAAUCACAUCCAGUCAUAACCCAAACCCUUCCUGCCUCAAGCUCCCCAUUUGUUCCCCAGUUCCCACCAAACACAAGUCAAGUUCACCUCCAAGCCCUGCAGCCCACAUCACAGGUUCCAAUGAUACAGCCACACACAAUACAGGUGCAGAACAGCUCAGAUGUUGCUUUGGUCAGUGCACUAGCAGAAGCUAUUAGUGCCAAUCGUCUUCCCACACCAGAGCCUUCAAUAUUUACUGGUGAUCCUUUAAGGUUUAACGAUUGGCGACUGUCAUUUGUAACAUUAAUUGACAGAAAGAACAUUCCCAAGAAUGAAAAAUUGUACUACCUAAGACAGUAUCUAGGUGGCAUUGCAAAGAAGGCAGUGGAAGGAUUUUUCCUACUAGGUACAGAAGCAGCAUACGACUCAGCCUGGCAACUCUUGGAAAAACGCUUUGGAGACCCAUUCAUAAUAGGGAAGUCUUUCAGAGACAAGUUACAUGGAUGGCCAAAAAUCAGCUCCAAAGACGGCUCUGAAUUAAGAGAGUUUGCAGACUUCCUUCGGAGUUGUGAAGCUGCAAUGCCCCACAUCAAAACAUUAGAAGUCCUAAAUGACUGUAACGAAAGUCAGAAAAUUCUAUUGAAACUGCCAGACUGGUUAGUGUCUAGUUGGAACCGCAAGGUAAUGGAAAGCAGACUAGCAGAUGCCAGAUACCCAUCAUUCAAAGAGUUGGUUGACUUCCUGUCAAAGGAAGCAGAUCUCGCUUGUGAUCCCAUCUCAUCCAUUCAAGCAGUCAAGAGGAUAGAAGCGGAAAGACAAAGGCAAGACCGUGGUCGAACUAUCCAAGCAAAGACACUGUCUACAAACACAACGCAACACAACAUCCCUUCAUGUGAUUUCUGCAAAAGAACAGGCCAUACCCUAGCCAACUGUAGGAAGUUUUGUGAAAAGACAGUUCAAGAUCGGGUUAAGUUUGUUCAGACAGAAAGGCUUUGCUUUGGAUGCUUGAAGACAGGUCAUCACUCUAGAAAGUGUGAAAACAGAAGUACAUGUGAAAAAUGUCAGAAAAAACAUCCAACAUGUUUACAUGUCGACAAGUUUUCAGAACGUCAAACAUUCAGAACUCCAAAGGGGGACGACAACUUAAAGGACAAAGCAGUAACCAAAGAAACAGUUUCAACAGGAACAACUAAUAGAGUCAUACAGGCAGGUCUAAGUACACAGACAUCCCCAAUCGUGCCAGUUUGGGUCUCAUCCAUAAAGCAGCCUGAUCAAGAAAUUCUGGUCUAUGCUCUUCUAGACACGCAGAGCGACACAACUUUCAUUCUGGAUGAAGUGGCUCAUGACCUCGACACAAGAAAGGAAAAUGUUUGUUUGCGGCUGUCUACUAUGUCUAACAGGUCAACAGACAUACCUUGUCAAAAACUGACAAAUUUGCAAGUCAGGGGAUUUAACCUAGACAAAAGAAUCCCAUUGCCACCACUUUUCACAAGAGAGUUCAUUCCAGCAGACAGAACACAUAUUCCAACUUCCCAGACAGCUCAAAGGUGGCCUCAUCUAGAACAACUAGUUGACAAGAUCCCACCACCAUUAGAUUGUGAAAUAGGCCUUCUGAUUGGUUACAACUGUCAACAAGCCCUCCUUCCAAGAGAAAUCCUGUCUGGUGAAGAAAAUUAUCCCUAUGCUCAGCGUACAGAUCUUGGAUGGAGCAUCAUCGGUUGCUUUAGUGCAGCUAGUGAUUGCAGUGAUGCAAUAGGAACAAGCCACAGAGUCAUAGUACAUCAAGUGACACCUACCAUCCAACCUGCAUUAACAUUAAGAAGAGAAGUGCACUUUGUAUGCAAAACCCAUGUCAAAGAAAUCAAUUCAAUAGACAUAAUCAAAGCUCUUGAAUCUGAUUUCACAGAACACACCACAGAUGACAUAAUGGUUUCACAGGAAGACCUUCUCUUUUUGUCUAAAAUGAAGGAAGGCAUCAAGCAGAUGGAAGAUGGCUACUUUGAACUCCCGCUUCCUCUCAAGACAGUUAAACCUGAUCUUCCAGACAACAAACUCUGUGCAGUUCACAGACUCUCUGCUUUAGAACGACGACUGAGGAAGAAUGAGCAGUAUUUCAAGGAUUAUGUCCAUUUCAUGAAUGACAUAAUCACUAGAGGAGAUGCUGAGAAGGUUCCCCAAGCUGAACUUGAGAACAAACCAGCGUGGUACAUUCCACACCACGGAGUAUAUCACCCCCAUAAGCCUGGAAAAAUCCGCGUGGUUUUCGACUGUUCAGCACGCUUUCAAGACACCUCUCUAAAUGAAAAUCUCUUGACUGGACCAGACCUGACUAACACAUUAGUUGGGGUCUUAUGCAGAUUCAGAAAAGGGUCAAUAGCUAUAAUGUGCGACGUAGAAAGGAUGUUCCACCAGUUUCGAGUAGCAAAGAAGCAUCAAGACUAUCUCAGGUUCCUCUGGUGGGACAAUGGUGAUCUAAAUUCAAAACCCUCAGUCUACCGGAUGAAAGUGCACCUCUUUGGGGCAGCUUCAUCCCCUGGUUGCUCCAACUUCGGAUUCAAACAUCUCGCUUCUCAGGGCCUUGGGAGGUUCAGUGAGGAGUCUGUCAAGUUCAUACAACGAAGCUUUUAUGUAGAUGAUGGCUUAAUAAGUGUUGACUCACCAGGUGAAGCCAUCAAUCUGAUUGAGGAGUCAAGAGCCUUGUGCAGAACAGGAAAUCUUCGGCUGCACAAGUUUGUAUCCAAUAACAAGGAAGUACUUGCCACAAUACCACCUGAAGAAUGCGUGCAAACCAAAGAUCUAGACAUGACCCUCGGAGAACCUCAUAUUGAGCGAGCACUCGGUGUUGAAUGGUGCAUCGAAGCAGAUGAAUUUCAGUUCAGGGUUGUGGUGAAGGAGAACCCACUGACAAGAAGAGGUGUUCUCUCGACUGUUGCAUCCGUUUAUGACCCUUUAGGAUUCGUAGCCCCUUUCAUAUUGGUUGGCAAAAAGAUCCUUCAGGAGUUAUGCAGAGACAAAGUAAGUUGGGACGAAGAUCUCCCUGAUCACAUUCUGUCAAGAUGGGAGUCAUGGCUUAAAGAUCUGCCUCAUUUAGCUGCCUUGAAGAUCCCAAGAAGCUAUUGUCCACCAACCUUUGGAAAGGUCAAGCACUAUGAACUUCACAACUUCUCAGAUGCAAGUUUCGAUGGAUAUGGUGCAUGCUCGUACCUCAGAGCAACGAGUGAAACAGGAGAAAUCAGUUGCUCACUUGUCAUGGGGAAGGCGAGGGUAGCUCCAACCAAAUUAAUGACUAUCCCGAGACUUGAACUGUCAUCAGCUGUCACUUCAGUCCGUAAUGGCAAAGUCCUCAAGAAAGAGCUUGAGAUAGAAAAUCUUAAAGAGUAUUACUGGACUGACUCAAAGGUGGUUCUUGGUUAUGUGAACAACGACGCCAAGAGAUUCCACACGUUUGUCGCUAACCGGAUUCAGCAUAUAAGAUCUAACACUAAUCCUGACCAGUGGCGAUAUGUCAGCUCUGAAAUGAACCCAGCCGACUGCGCCUCUAGGGGGCUAAGUGGAGUCCAGUUGAAAGAGUCCAAUUGGCUGCAAGGACCAGACUUUCUGUGGCAGCAGCAUCCAUUACCUCAAGAGGAAAUGGUGGGAGAAAUCGAAUCAACUGACCCUGAGCUUCGUAAAUCUUAUGUUCAGGCAGUAAAUACAAAGGAGAAGGGAUCAGUGGUGAAUCGUCUCACUAAAUUCUCCGACUGGUCUAGAGCAGUGAAAGCUGUCGCUAGGCUCAAGAGACUUAUUAGAGUGUUUAAAGGUGUUCAGCCAAGAACAAAUGACUCAACCAGUCUCGAAGAACAAAGAGAAGCAGAAAUCUUUAUCAUCAGAUUGGUGCAAGAGGAAGCUUUUCCUGAAGAUAUACAAAAAUUGAAGUUCCAGAAACAAUGCUCUCUGAGCAAACACAACAAGUUACAUCAGUUGAAUGCUUUCUUGGAUGAAAACAACAUUCUCAGGGUGGGAGGACGCCUGUCUGAAGCAGCUUUACAUCAUAAUGUGAGGCACCCUGCCAUACUUCCAAAGAAAUCUCAUGUAUCAUCCUUGCUUGUUAAGCAUCAUCAUGAGCGGAUCUUUCACCAAGGGAGAGGCAUGACAAUGAACGAGCUUCGUGCAAACGGGAUAUGGAUCAUAGGUUGUGGAAACAUGGUCUCCUCACACAUUCACAAAUGUGUGAAAUGUAGAAGAUACAGAAGAAAAACUGAGGUUCAACAAAUGUCAGAUCUGCCGAAAGAAAGAACCAAGACCUCUCCUCCCUUCACUUAUUGUGGUCUAGAUUGCUUUGGUCCCUUUAUUGUGAAGGAGGGAAGAAAGGAAUUGAAACGAUACGGGUUGUUGUUUACCUGUUUGUGUUGCAGAGCGGUUCACAUAGAGUUACUAGAUGACUUAACUACAGAUGCUUUCAUGAAUGCACUAAGAACAUUCAUCGCCAUCAGAGGACCUGUGCGCCAACUGAGAAGCGAUCAGGGAACAAAUUUUGUGGGUGCCAGGAGAGUGUUUUCUGAGUUAUUAAAAGGAAUGGAUCAAGAACAACAAAGAAAGAUUGGCUGUGAAUUUGUGAUGAACGUUCCAUCAGCGAGUCAUAUGGGCGGCGUAUGGGAACGUCAAAUCCGAACGAUUCGAAGCAUCCUGACAGCCAUGCUCGACAAAUCUGCAAGCAGACUUGAUACCACAACUUUGAGGACCUUUCUAUAUGAAACAAUGGCUAUAAUCAACAGCAGGCCUCUGAGUGUUGAACAUCUUCAUGAUCCAACCGGUCCAGAACCUCUCACACCAAAUCAUAUAUUGACCAUGAAGUCAUCAGUUAUCCUGCCUCCACCUGGAAAGUUCUGUGCAGAAGACCUUUAUCUGAGUAAAAGGUGGAGAAGAGUGCAGUUUCUAGCCAAUGAAUUCUGGCAAAGAUGGAAGCGUGAAUAUUUACUAAAUCUCCAACUAAGGCAGAAGUGGCAAAGACAAUCACGAAACUCACAAGUAAAUGAUAUAGUGAUCCUGCAAGAUGACAACUCACCAAGAAACGAAUGGAAGCUUGGCAAAGUCGUAGAAGUUCAGCCCAGCACAGACGGCAUGGUGAGAAAGCUGAAGCUACUUGUCAGUGACACCACAUUUGAGAAAGGAAAACUACAUACCAGAGCUACUUACCUUGAGAGGCCCAUCCACAAAGUAGUUACCUUAAUAGAAGCCAAAUAAGUUAUACACAUAACUUCACAUUCAUACAUACACAUUCACUUUUCUACACUCACUCAAGGUUUGUCUUAGAAAUCUCUCAAUUUAAGUUAAUGAGUGAUUUGGUGGGAGUGUAAGUGCUGUUGAAUUCAUGUUAAAAUGAAUCAUUCAUUAUUUAUGUUAAAUAGUUUAGGUAAAAACUUUAAAUGAGUAAACUCAUGUGUGUGUUAUAAGAUUAAACACGGGUUAAUUUCAUAAUGUUUUUAUAAGUUUGUUUUAUCAGCGCUGUUAUGUUUCAGCUAGGAACCAAUGUUUGUACUUGUGUACCACUAGGGUAAAUUAAUCGAUGCUACACUCUAAAAACUAGAUUGCAAAGCCUGAUCCAAGCGUGUCAAGAACCUCUCUUCAUGACAAGCGGCUAAUGAGUUCUCACGGCAUGAAAGUAUAAACGCCAUUAAGCGUGCAAAUGGAGUGUCAUGUUAAACGACAUGAGAGAAAGGACGAAAUAAAUGCCAGUUAAAGAGAAA